GGCAACUUGUCCGAGUGGUUAAGGAGAUGCCCUGCUAAGCUACUAAGCAAGCGGUUAAGGCAUUGCGCUUUGCGUGCGCAGGUUCGAACCCUGCAGUUGUCG
rfam:Candida parapsilosis strain CDC317 annotated contig 005809